rnacentral:rRNA from 1 species
UGGGGAAUUUUGCACAAUGGGGGAAACCCUGAUGCAGCGACGCCGCGUGAUUUAGAAGGCCUUCGGGUUGUAAAAAUCUUUUCUAUGGGAAGAAAAUGACAGUACCAUAGGAAUAAGGACCGGCUAAUUACGUGCCAGCAGCCGCGGUAAUACGUAAGGUCCGAGCGUUGCCCGGAAUCAUUGGGCGUAAAGGGUACGUAGGCGGGUAAGCAAGUUAGAAGUGAAAUCCUAUAGCUCAACUAUAGUAAGCUUUUAAAACUGCUCAUCUUGAGGUAUGGAAGGGAAAGUGGAAUUCCUCGUGUAGCGGUGAAAUGCGCAGAUAUUAGGAGGAAUACCGGUGGCGAAGGCGACUUUCUGGCCAUAACCUGACGCUGAGGUACGAAAGCGUGGGUAGCAAACAGG